ensembl:lncRNA
GAGCUUGGAAGGGAAGUCUCACAUGAGACUGCGGCCAGCAGACAUUUGGAUUUUCAUAAUUGCAAGGGUCUGAUCACAGGACCUACCACACCCAUACUUGGAAUUCUGACCCACAGAAACUGAGAGAGAUAUCAGCACCAUCCAGAGAGGUGUGGAUCCCAAGCCCAUGGAGAACAUCCCGUGAAUUCAGAGAUUCCAGUAUCACCAAGCACUACCUCCUCCUCAAAGGGCUUGCCAAGGAUCAAAAAAACUUCUGCCUGUAAAUGGCUCUCAGCAUUGAUACAUCCUGAAACCGUCUGUGUGCAUCAGGAAAGAAACAGAGCUCACUUGCUUCUAUGAAAAAAAUCCACGUUUUUUCAUCCUCGGGGCCUUACUCCUGAGAAUCAAAUUGGAAAACACCAUUUUUAAAGGCACAUUCAAAGACAGUCUGUGAAGGAAAAAAAAGUAGCUGCUAGAAGCAAGUAAACAAUCUAUACUUGAAUCUCUGAAAACAAGAUAAAAGUACUUUGCAAAGAAACAAAAUCUAAGGAACUCAGAAAAACUGAAGUCAAUUGUGAACCUGAUUUGCUGAUACUCUUCUCCUAAGAGGAGGGCCUGUGCUGUUUUUUAAAAAUAA